GACUUGCAAACCAAGUGUUUUCAAUUCGUCAGUAUCUGUUUACUUGAAUUCAACCCAUUAUCAUGAGUAAGCUUUUGAAGUUGGUGAGGUUUCCGCGGCAUCCAUAUAUUAUCAUGGGUUAUGGAAGCUGCACAAGUAAUGUGAAAGCCACUAGAUUGGAAGGACUUUGUUGGAAUCACUAUUCUUCAUAUGAUUAAUCAAUAACCGGACCGUCAACGGGAAAUGAUUGCUGCUCUUAUGGCUCAGUUCAAACUUAAAACAAAGAAUGGAGGAGACGACCGUGCGGAGGAGACUCCUUGAACCGAGCGAAAUUUUUAAC